GCCUAGGAAUCUGCCUGGUAGUGGGGGAUAACGUCCGGAAACGGACGCUAAUACCGCAUACGUCCUACGGGAGAAAGCAGGGGACCUUCGGGCCUUGCGCUAUCAGAUGAGCCUAGGUCGGAUUAGCUAGUUGGUGGGGUAAUGGCUCACCAAGGCGACGAUCCGUAACUGGUCUGAGAGGAUGAUCAGUCACACUGGAACUGAGACACGGUCCAGACUCCUACGGGAGGCAUCAGUGGGGAAUAUUGGACAAUGGGCGAAAGCCUGAUCCAUCCAUGCCGCGUGUGUGAAGAAGGUCUUCGGAUUGUAAAUCACUUUUAGUUGGGAGGAAGGGCAGUAAAUUAAUACUUUGCUGUUUUGACGUUACCGACAAAUAAGCACCGGCUAACUCUGUGCCAGCAGCCGCGGUAAUACAUAGGGUGCCAGCGUU
rnacentral:rRNA from 1 species